AUCAUUUUAAAAAAUUACAGGAAGUUAAAACUACACAGUCAUAUCAAAUAUGAAUAUUUAGAAAAAAUCAUAAAAUUUUGUUGCUGUAAAAAAUUUUGCUCUUGAGUAUUAUAACUUUGGACAAAAGGGUCAAAAUGACACCACUAAUGGUACUUCUAGUGUUAAUGCAGUGGCAUACCAAUGGGAAUUCUAGGAGUGUUAUAUCCUAUUCAGAAUAUGUCUGUAAAAUUAAGUUAGCUGAGAAUGAAUUGUAUAAUACAAGGUGUGGCUUUAAUCCAAGACUGACAUCACAGCAUGAAACCGAUCACUCGCCCGAGAGAGGUGCUGUUGGUAUCUGGAAAGUAGUGCAUCUGCACAUGCUCCCCGCAGCGCGCGUCAGUCGUAGACAUUAGCUUGGCUGGGAAAGACGCGUGGAAACGUAUCUGGUGAAGUGUUGUUGUCGAAGUGGG
rnacentral:lncRNA from 1 species